CGGCGAGUGAAGCGGCAACAGCUCAAAUUUGAAAUCUGGCCCCCCGCGGGCCCGAGUUGUACUUUGGAGAGGACGCUUCUGGCGCGGCGCCGUCCGAGUUCCCUGGAACGGGACGCCGGAGAGGGUGAGAGCCCCGUACGGGCGGCCGCCUAGCCUCUGCGAAGCUCCUUCGACGAGUCGAGUAGUUUGGGAAUGCUGCUCAAAAUGGGAGGUAAAUUUCUUCUAAAGCUAAAUACCGGCCAGAGACCGAUAGCGCACAAGUAGAGUGAUCGAAAGAUGAAAAGCACUUUGAAAAGAGGGUCAAACAGUACGUGAAAUUGUUGAAAGGGAAGCGCCUGUGGCCAGACUUGCGCCCCGCGGACCACCCGGCGCCUCGCGCGCCGGGGCACGCCAGCGGGGCGCAGGCCAGCAUCGGCUCUCUCGGGGGGACAAAGGCCGCGGGAACGUAGCGCCCUCGCGGCGUAUUAUAGCCCGCGGCGCCAUGCCCCCGGGGGGGCCGAGGACCGCGCUCCGGCAAGGAUGCUGGCGUAAUGGCCACCGGCGACCCGUCUUGAAACACGGACCAAGGAGUCAAGCAUUGGGGCGAGUGUCUGGGUGGCAAGCCCGCACGCGGAAUGAAAGUGAACGCAGGUGGGAGCUUCGGCGCACCACCGACCGAUCCUGAUGUCCUCGGAUGGAUUUGAGUAGGAGCCCCGCCGCUUGGACCCGAAAGAUGGUGAACUAUGCCUGUAUAGGGUGAAGCCAGAGGAAACUCUGGUGGAGGCCCGCAGCGGUUCUGACGUGCAAAUCGAUCGUCAAAUAUGGGCA
rnacentral:rRNA from 1 species